rnacentral:rRNA from 1 species
GACAGAGGUGGCAAGCGUUGUUCGGAAUUACUGGGCGUAAAGGGCGCGUAGGCGGCCUUCUAAGUCAGACGUGAAAUCCCCGGGCUCAACCCGGGAACUGCGUCCGAUACUGGAAGGCUUGAAUCCGGGAGAGGGAUGCGGAAUUCCAGGUGUAGCGGUGAAAUGCGUAGAUAUCUGGAGGAACACCGGUGGCGAAGGCGGCAUCCUGGACCGGUAUUGACGCUGAGGCGCGAAAGCCAGGGGAGCAAACGGG